rnacentral:rRNA from 1 species
CAGCCGCCGCGGGAAAACGUAGGGUGCAAGCGUUAAUCGGAAUUACUGGGCGUAAAGCGUGCGCAGGCGGUUUGUUAAGACAGAUGUGAAAUCCCCGGGCUCAACCUGGGAACUGCAUUUGUGACUGGCAAGCUAGAGUGUGGCAGAGGGGGGUGGAAUUCCGCGUGUAGCAGUGAAAUGCGUAGAUAUGCGGAGGAACACCGAUGGCGAAGGCAGCCCCCUGGGCCAACACUGACGCUCAUGCACGAAAGCGUGGGGAGCAAACAGGAUUAGAUACCCCAGUAGUCCCUGUCUCUUAUAC